UCUUAACUUCUUUGAUGAAUUCUGCAGGUUCAAUGGCUAGAGUAUUCACAAGCCUCCAAGAAAAUGCACCAAAAAGCGGUAUCCUUGCUUCCUUUAUUUUUUCCACCCCCACUAAUCAAUUUUUCUAUCAUUAUUAUUGUUACUUCCAUCAAAGCGAUUUUUAUACUGUUCGUGUUAUUUUAUCAAACGAACAUAUGAAGUUUUUACCGUGUUACAUUAGAACAAAUUCAUUUCAAUAUUUACGUUUUUGGUGGUCUUUUAAUUUAACUCUUUAGCAGUACUGCAUUCGUAUCUUAAUUAUGUAUUUGUGACUGUUUCCUUAAUUCUUUUGAAGUUGUAAUGGGUUCCGCAAUUGGUGUUGCUACAAAUUUCACACUCCUAAGCCAGAUAUUGUUCUACCAAAAGCCAAGGGUUACUAAGAAAGAGAAGAAAACGAAAUAGAAGAACUAUACAAAGUCAUGUAUACUGCUACUUCCGAGUUCCUCGUGUUCAUCUUUCAACAGGUGCUACGUCCUUGAAGCCAUACUCAAAAUUUUAUCACUGUUGAAUUGACCCUUUUGAACAUUUACUUUUUUUCAACUGCUGAUUCUUAAGGUAGCCAACUUAGAAUGGGUAACUGGGGGACUUAAAUGGGUAAUUUCGGAGAGUGAUGUAAUAUUUUUUUUGGGUAUUUUAAUUGAUUUCAUGUAAUCUUUUGUUUUGGUAUUAACUUAAUGCAAUUUUAACAUUUCAAAAAGUUUUUAUAAGGUAUUGUAUAAUUAGGA